CUAACACAUGCAAGUCGAGCGGUAACAGAAAGUAGCUUGCUACUUUGCUGACGAGCGGCGGACGGGUGAGUAAUGCUUGGGAACAUGCCUUGAGGUGGGGGACAACAGUUGGAAACGACUGCUAAUACCGCAUAAUGUCUACGGACCAAAGGGGGCUUCGGCUCUCGCCUUUAGAUUGGCCCAAGUGGGAUUAGCUAGUUGGUGAGGUAAUGGCUCACCAAGGCGACGAUCCCUAGCUGGUUUGAGAGGAUGAUCAGCCACACUGGGACUGAGACACGGCCCAGACUCCUACGGGAGGCAGCAGUGGGGAAUAUUGCACAAUGGGCGCAAGCCUGAUGCAGCCAUGCCGCGUGUGUGAAGAAGGCCUUCGGGUUGUAAAGCACUUUCAGUCAGGAGGAAAGGUUAGUAGUUAAUACCUGCUAGCUGUGACGUUACUGACAGAAGAAGCACCGGCUAACUCCGUGCCAGCAGCCGCGGUAAUACGGAGGGUGCGAGCGUUAAUCGGAAUUACUGGGCGUAAAGCGUACGCAGGCGGUUUGUUAAGCGAGAUGUGAAAGCCCCGGGCUCAACCUGGGAACUGCAUUUCGAACUGGCAAACUAGAGUGUGAUAGAGGGU
rnacentral:rRNA from 1 species